AACGAACGCUGGCGGCAUGCCUAACACAUGCAAGUCGAACGAGACCUUCGGGUCUAGUGGCGCACGGGUGCGUAACGCGUGGGAACCUGCCCUUAGGUUCGGAAUAACUCCCCGAAAGGGGUGCUAAUACCGGAUAAUGUCUUCGGACCAAAGAUUUAUCGCCUUUGGAUGGGCCCGCGUUGGAUUAGCUAGUUGGUAGGGUAAAAGCCUACCAAGGCGACGAUCCAUAGCUGGUCUGAGAGGAUGAUCAGCCACACUGGGACUGAGACACGGCCCAGACUCCUAAGGGAAGGAGGAAUGGGGAAAAAUGGAAAAAGGGGGAAAGGCUGAUCCAGCAAAGCCGGGUGAGUGAUGAAGGGCUUAGGGUUGGAAAACUCUUUUAACCGGGAUGAUAAUGACAGUACCGGGAGAAUAAGCUCCGGCUAACUCCGUG
rnacentral:rRNA from 1 species